UCCUCAUUUCCCACACUCUCUCACCGGUCAGAGACGCGUGAGAGUGUGGGAAAUGAAGAGA
rnacentral:pre_miRNA from 1 species